rnacentral:rRNA from 1 species
UAAUACGUAGGGGGCAAGCGUUGUCCGGAAUCAUUGGGCGUAAAGCGCGUGUAGGCGGUUCAGUAAGUCUGCUGUGAAAGUCCAGGGCUCAACCCUGGGAUGCCGGUGGAUACUGCUGGGCUAGAGUACGGAAGAGGCGAGUGGAAUUCCCGGUGUAGCGGUGAAAUGCGCAGAUAUCGGGAGGAACACCAAUUGCGAAGGCAGCUCGCUGGGACGUUACUGACGCUGAGACGCGAAAGCGUGGGGAGCAAACAGGAUUAGAUACCCUGGUAGUCCACGCCGUAAACGAUGGGCACUAGGUGUGGGAGGUGUCGACUCCUUCCGUGCCGAAGCUAACGCAUUAAGUGCCCCGCCUGGGGAGUACGGCCGCAAGGCUA